rnacentral:lncRNA from 1 species
AUGCUAUUUAUUGUGUUAGACAUUUAAUUUGAUUAUAUUUAAUCAGUUAAUAUUUUGAGUGAAUAAUUGAAAUGAACGAAAUAAAACAUAGCAGGAAUUUUAGGGAUCAUUUCAAAGACCUUGAAAUUCAUUACACACACUGAUUUUCUUUUACUUAUCAGUCUUGUUACAUUCUGCAAUAACCAUGUGGAAACCUGAGUUUCUAAUUAUCCUUUCUGCCUCCUCCUGAUUCACAUCUUUUAUUCUCAUCAGAAAGUAUGUGAAGAACUAAGAAACACAGAGAAAACAAUCACUGACAACUCUUUGGUAGUGUGAGUGUCUAUCAGGUGCCAACUGGAAUGUUUCUUUUCAUUUGGGGGUUACUUUGUAGACUGUUAUUCUCUAUAGCUGCUAAAAUCCACCUGGAAACAUUUUUCCCAGUCACACAAGGCAAAGUCAACAUUAUUGACGACUGAGAUAGCUUAGCGGUCAAGGAGACCCUGAUGAAGAAAGGUCAACACAGGAGAACACCAUUGUUCCACGUAACACGUGCCCAAUCAAAAAUGUGCUGCCAUGAACAAAGAUUUUCUUUUAAGCUGGGAAACUUAACUUCACAUUCUUUUUUUAAGACUUUCAAUCUCACCAAUAGACAAGACACUAGGAGAAAAGACUGCAGCUUCACUUGUGUCAUUUCUAGAAAAAUGAGCUAUCGCUAAGGAAUUGCAUUAGUGAAUUUAAAUGGUUUCACGCAGUUGAAUUAUUUAGACAUUUCUUUUCCUGUCCUGUGAUUCUCUCUUUCAUCUAUCUGAACACUUGCCACCUGCUAAUGCUCAUAUCUGUAUAACUCCGAAGGCUUCUUUUCUCUUCCUUUAUUCCAAAAAAUACAACAAACCCUUGGAGAUCGAGCCUACUCCAUAGGUGCCCUAACUUACCUGGGUCCUUACUUCCAUUUUUUCAGUCAGUUCUUGCCAACUUUCUUGUAAAUCCCACACAGCAAUCAUCUUUUAUGCCUGAACUAUCUCCUGAACCCCAAAGGCACAUUUUUCUGCUACCUACUAAACUCUUCUACUUGGUUUCCCAGGAGAAAUUUUUCUUAUAUGUGUCAAGUCACAAACGAAAUGGAAACAAUGGUUUUCUUUUCUUUUCUUUUCUUUUCUUUUCUUCUUCUGCUCUUCCUUCUCAUUCUAUAACUAAGAGGUGAGCUUUGUAGGACUGGAACUCCAGAAUCAUGCUGACCCCUUUUCUUCCUCUCUGCUCUCAUAUUCUAGUUACUUUCCAAUUCCUAAAGGGUUUCUGCCAAAUGUCCUGGAUACCCAUUCUCUCCACUGAUAUUCAUUUCCUUUCGAAUGUUGGACUAAACCAUCCUUCUCAGCUUCUAUUGCAUCUCAUGGGUCCUGCUAUCUCUCUAGGUCCCUAAACCUUUAUGUGAUUUCCAUCUGGGCAGAGAUUCCUUGACAAGUUCUAAUGAUGCUAUUUUCUGCUUAAAAAAUUAAAAAUUUCAGUGUGUUCUCAUAGCCAAGUCCAAGAUCCUGAUUCUGGCAUUCAAUGAUUUCUAGGAUUUUCCCUCCAAAAUAGCCUUUUUCCUUACCCUCCUGUGACAUAAACAAAGUGGACUAUAGGCAGGUGCCUAAUCUCCCACCCUCAACGACUUUCCCAUCAAUGUUCCACAGUUGAUGCUUUAUCUUUACCAGAUGUGUCCUCUCUCCCCUUCCUCCUUCCUUCAUAACAAACUGAGGUCUUACCCAGCCUUUAAAAAUGCCUCAUUUACUACAAUGAAGUACAACCUCAUACGGGUCAGAAUGGCCAUCAUUAAUAAGCCUACAAAUUACAGACACUAGACAGGAUACGGAGAAAAGGGAACCCUCCUGCACUGCUGGUGGGAAUGUAAAUUGGUACAUCCACUUUGGAAAACAGUACGUAAGUUCCUGAGAAAACUAAAUAUAGAACUAAAUAUGAUACACCAAUCCCACUCCUGGGCACAUAUCCAGACAAAACUACAAUUCAAAAAGAUACAUGCACCUGUAUGUUCAUUGCAGCACUAUUCACAAUAGCCAAGACAUGGAACCAACCCAAAUGUCCAACAAGAGAUGAGUGGAUUAAGAAGAUGCGGUACAUAUACACAAUGGAAUACUGCUCAGCCAUAAAAAUGAGUGACAUAAUGCCAUUUGCAGCAACAUGAAUGUAACCAGAGAUUCUCAUACUAAGUAAGUCAGAAAGAGAAAGACAGAUACCAUAUGAUAUCACUUAUAUAUGGAAUCUAAAUGAACCUAUACAUAAAACAGAAACAGCCUCACAGACAUAGAGAACAAACGUGUGGUUGCCAAGGUGGAAGCCAGGAGAGACUGGGAGUGUGGGAUUAGUAGAUGCAAACUAUUACAUUUAGAAUGGAUAAGCAAUGAGGUCCUACUGUAUAGCACAGAGAACUAUAUCCAAUUUCUUGGGACUGACCAUGAUGGAAGAUACCUCCUUUGAAAUUCAUUAUUCCAUUAAUGGCACUUUUGCUGUGAUACAUCCUCAUUCGAACAAAUAUUUACUUCAUACAAAUUUCUGUGCUUUUAUUCCUGGUAUUGUGCUUGUAUUGUAUGUACUGUGUUGUACUUGUACUGGCCUUCUCCCAGCUCUUUGAAGGUUUAUACUAGAUUUUACUCAUCUUUUAAUGUGAAAUUAUAGCCUAUAUCAUAGUGGAUGUUGCACUAUGUUGUUGCAGGUCUUGCCUCUCAGAGACGGUUUUUAUCUUGACAUCCCUCCCGACGGCACGGUGCUUACCUUGACCACCGCGUCCAACCAUCGCUUUCAUUGCAAUUACACACGUUCCUUCUAUAAAAUACUUCACUCCAGGCUGACACCAUAUUUGGAGUCCCAUAGAUCUGCAUCCAUCUGGAAUCAUGCGUAGUGCCAUCUGUACCUUUCCUUUAAAGUCCUGCUGGCUGUAAAAGAUGUGAAACCUAAUAACGGGUUAAUAUGUUAACUUCUCCAAAAGUAAAACUGUUGGUGUUCAACAGAACUUUGGGAAGAUAAGGAGUGACUCUCCUCCAGAGAAUUUCUGACUGAGUGGCAUGCUGAUAUGGGUGAUAUUUUUGGUCUGGUACAAUUUUCAAUCCCCACAAAUCACAUCUUACAAGUGGCUGACAAGUUUAUCUAUGUCUGGGAGAGGACACGGACCCCUCAUCUAAACAGGCACCCAUGCACUCACUCACACAUGUACCACGGCCCUCAGAUCACGUGACAGCGAGAUUCCCAGGACAAUGGAAACAAGAGCUACAGGGCUCACCUGCCUUCAGUUCCACAGGGAGCUGACAAGGGCUCAGCAACUGCAGGGGUCUCCAUCAUACAAGAUAUUUUUUUUUCAAUCCAAAUCACAUCUUCAAUUUUGUCCUGUUAGGGGUUAGUAGAUGCAAAGUAUUACAUGUAGAAUGGAUACGAAAUGAGGUCCUACUCUAGGACCUCCACCCCCCAAUACAAAUGAAGAGACAGAGUUCCUGUUGUGGAUCAGCAGUUAACGAACCCAACUAGUAUCCAUGAGGACACGGGUUCGAUCCCUGGCCCUGCUCAGUGGGUUAAGGAUCCGGCAUUGCUGUGAGCUUUGGUGUAGGUCGCAGAUGCAGCUCAGACCCUGCAUUGCUGUGGCUGUGGCAUAGGCUGGCAGCUGUACUUCCAAUUCGACCCCUAGCCUGGGAACCUCCACAGGCUGCAGGUGUGGCCCUAAAAA